CGUCAUGGACACCGCCCACUCGGCGAACUGUCUCCGAGCGGAGCCGGGUGGGAUUGGAUUGGACGCUGGGCGGGAAAGGACGGACGGGUUAAGUAGCCAAUCACCAAUUGCGAUCCAGCCAGAGGGGAGACGUUCUUGGAGAGCAGAGGGAGGAUGAGGAAGGCCAGUGCCAACACCUGAAGUGAAGAGGCCUCCUAAUGCUUUCCAGGAUCUGGAAGAAGUUCAGUGUGAGGACAAGUGUGAGGAAAUAAGGCUGAAGGCAGAGGCAACCUUGAAGGAUCUUCUAACCCAUGUCAAGCAGUUGAGAAUUUAUAGAGUGAAACAGCAAGCCAUUGAAAAGUUUCAAGGUGCUCCCAAUGCAAUCACAAAGAUCCUUAAAAGUGGAAGAAGGUGGGAGAGGUCAGAGUGAUAUGAGGAGAACUCAGUCCACCAUUACUGGCUUUGAAGAUGGAAGAACGGGGCUAUGAGCCCUGGAGUGUGGGCAGCCUGCAGAAGCUGGGGCAGGGAUUCCACACUGGCACCUCUAGAAAAUAAUGCAGCCAACCAGUCCUUAGGCUUUCGCCCAGUGAGAGUCAAGUUGGACUUCUGACCUACAAAAAAGUAAGAUGAUGAAUUUAUAUUGUUUAAACCACAAAGUUUGUGGCAGUUUGUUACAGGAGCAAUAAAAUAUUAAUACACUGUAGCCUCUGUGUGGGGGAUGAACUGUACCAUCUAAAAGUAAAGGGAGUACAAUUAGGUUGUUCCUAAUUGAAUUUAGAAUUUGGGGAAAAUGGUCUAGAGAAUAGGGACAACAGUGAAGGUGGUGGGAAGUGGUCAGAUUUGGGAUACAUUUUCAAGCUGACAAAAAAAUUGUCUUGCAUAAUUCCCAGAAUUUUGGUCUAAGCCAUUGAGUUUGAUGAACUAGAUGAGUAGUAGUGCAUUUACUGACAUGGGAAAGACAGGGGAGCUAUGGUUUAGAGGAGAAAAGAAAGAAUUCUGUUUUAGAAAUUAGUUUGAGAUCUUUUUCAGAUACGCAAGUGGAGACGUUGAUUAGGCAACGGGAUAAAUGAUCCUGAAGCUCAGGAGAUGGGUCAGGACUAGAAAUAUAAAUUUAGUAUGGCAAAGUUACAAAAUGGGAGAGGCUUUUGCCCUAGAUAUUAUGAUGCCACCCUCAAAACCCCACUACUUAUACUUGAAAUGCUAUGUGAGAAGAAAGAAUGAUUUUGGAUUUCUGAAGCCCUUAUUAUUUGCUGUCUUACAGUUACUAAGCUGAUAAUCUAACUAAUCCCCCAAACUGUUUAAUCACUUUAUAUUCAACAAAAUUUGAAUUUCCAAAAUUGCUCAAAUUAAAUCCAGAGAACAGUAGUAUCUAGCUUAUUUUGUUGCAGAUUUAGGGACAUAGUCAUGAAUAUUUCCUGAUGAUGUGUUCUUAUCUAAACUUGCUGGGGCAAAUUGGGUGACAAAAACAACUGUGGUUUCAGUGGGUGCAGCCUUUAUCUGUGGUUGAAAAUGGCUCGUCAUUUGGAACAGCCUGAUGAAGAAAGAGAGGGGAGGAUGUACCACUUCCCUUUGAGGGCAUGAAUCUGCAGGUGCACACAUUUCUUCCACUAAUUUCCUCUGGCUCAAAAAUAAUAUAUAGUCCCAUUGAAGAUUUUUGUUUUUGUUGUUGUUUGUUUUGUUUUUGUCUGGAUGGCCGUCUGUGCAGCUGAGAUUUUGGGGUUCAAUUACUAAUGAACAAAGAGAAAGUAGAUGUUGGAGACAAUAGUAAUUCUGUCCCAGUCAGUUCCUUUGGCUACCCUAGUAAUCUUAUGUAUCCUUCUUUUUGCCCCUAGAACACACUUACCCUUCCUCAAGGGUCGCAUGCCAGGUACUACAUCCAACUCAAAGCCCAGAUCUGCAGGUGACGCAUAGACUUUCACUAGAACUAGGUGUGGCUGCUUGUAGUUCAGGGAACUAUAACCUAAAAAACUAGUUAUUUGACUUCUCCCCAGUGUAAAACAGCAGAGUAGGAGCUGUAUAGUUGCAAUUAAAACACACAAACAAAAGUCAAAAAGCCUCCAAGUUAGAAAGAAGGGUCUGAAGAGGCAGCACUCACUUUAUAACAAUGAUCAAGUGCUCAUGUACAGGAAUAACAAAGGCUCCUGUACAAGGUCUGCCAGAGCUGCCGUAACAAAAUACUACAAACUGUCUGGCUUCAACAACAUAACUUAACUUUCUCACAGUUCUGGAGGCUAGAAGUCCACAAUCCCAGUGGCAGCAGGUGUGGCCUCUGCUUGGUACCUACUCGCUGUGUCCUCCUGUGGUUUUUCCUCUGUGCACGGCCCUAAUGUCUCUCCCUCUUCUAAUAAGGAGACCAGACGCUUUGGAUUAGGACCUACCCUAGUGGCCUCAUUUUAACUUAUCCACCUCUUUAAGGGCCUUAUCUCCAAAUACAGAGUCCCAUUCUGAGAUACUAGGGGUUAAGGCUUCCACAUAGGAAUUUGGCGGAGGGUGAGGAGAACAAUUCAGCCCAUAACAACUCCUUUCUUUAGCAAUGGAGUAAAUCCCUUCUUUAGCUCACCUGGCAUCCCUGUCGUUAUUCUCUGGGCAGAACUUUUGGAAUUCGUGUCUGUGUCUGCUCUAGGACCCAGAUCAUAGAGCAUCAAGUGAGGUCAGAGAGUUUCUUGCCUCAGGCAUAAAAGUUGAGGGGGCACAAAAAGACUUGAUAAUAAAAAAAAAAUUUUAAUGAUAUAUUUUAAACAAACAAAAUGAAUGUAAAGGAUCUAUAAAUCUAUGGUGAACAAUAUAACACUGUUUAAUAAAGAUAGGAUUGUAUUGAUGAUUUUCCUUUUUGUCUCAGGAUCUGAUAUGACUUC